rnacentral:rRNA from 1 species
GGGCGUUAAGUUGCAGGGUAUAGACCCGAAACCCGGUGAUCUAGCCAUGGGCAGGUUGAAGGUUGGGUAACACUAACUGGAGGACCGAACCGACUAAUGUUGAAAAAUUAGCGGAUGACCUGUGGCUGGGGGUGAAAGGCCAAUCAAACCGGGAGAUAGCUGGUUCUCCCCGAAAGCUAUUUAGGUAGCGCCUCGUGAAUUCAUCUCCGGGGGUAGAGCACUGUUUCGGCUAGGGGGCCAUCCCGGCUUACCAACCCGAUGCAAACUGCGAAUACCGGAGAAUGUUAUCACGGGAGACACACGGCGGGUGCUAACGUCCGUCGUGAAGAGGGAAACAACCCAGACCGCCAGCUAAGGUCCCAAAGUCAUGGUUAAGUGGGAAACGAUGUGGGAAGGCCCAGACAGCCAGGAUGUUGGCUUAGAAGCAGCCAUCAUUUAAAGAAAGCGUAAUAGCUCACUGGUCGAGUCGGCCUGCGCGGAAGAUGUAACGGGGCUAAACCAUGCACCGAAGCUGCGGCAGCGACRCUAUGYGUUGUUGGGUAGGGGAGCGUUCUGUAAGCCUGYGAAGGUGGCCUGUGAGGGUUGCUGGAGGUAUCAGAAGUGCGAAUGCUGACAUAAGUAACGAUAAAGCGGGUGAAAAGCCCGCUCGCCGGAAGACCAAGGGUUCCUGUCCAACGUUAAUCGGGGCAGGGUGAGUCGACCCCUAAGGCGAGGCCGAAAGGCGUAGUCGAUGGGAAACGGGUUAAUAUUCCCGUACUUGGUGUUACUGCGAAGGGGGGACGGAGAAGGCUAUGUUGGCCGGGCGACGGUUGUCCCGGUUUAAGCGUGUAGGUGUGUGUUCCAGGUAAAUCCGGUUCACUUUAACACUGAGGCGUGAUGACGAGGCACUACGGUGCUGAAGCAACAAAUGCCCUGCUUCCAGGAAAAGCCUCUAAGCAUCAGGUAACAUCAAAUCGUACCCCAAACCGACACAGGUGGUCAGGUAGAGAAUACCAAGGCGCUUGAGAGAACUCGGGUGAAGGAACUAGGCAAAAUGGUGCCGUAACUUCGGGAGAAGGCACGCUGACACGUAGGUGAAGUGAUUUACUCAUGGAGCUGAAGUCAGUCGAAGAUACCAGCUGGCUGCAACUGUUUAUUAAAAACACAGCACUGUGCAAACACGAAAGUGGACGUAUACGGUGUGACGCCUGCCCGGUGCCGGAAGGUUAAUUGAUGGGGUCAGCGCAAGCGAAGCUCCUGAUCGAAGCCCCGGUAAACGGCGGCCGUAACUAUAACGGUCCUAAGGUAGCGAAAUUCCUUGUCGGGUAAGUUCCGACCUGCACGAAUGGCGUAAUGAUGGCCAGGCUGUCUCCACCCGAGACUCAGUGAAAUUGAACUCGCUGUGAAGAUGCAGUGUACCCGCGGCAAGACGGAAAGACCCCGUGAACCUUUACUAUAGCUUGACACUGAACAUUGAGCCUUGAUGUGUAGGAUAGGUGGGAGGCUUUGAAGUGUGGACGCCAGUCUGCAUGGAGCCGGCCUUGAAAUACCACCCUUUAAUGUUUGAUGUUCUAACGUGGACCCGUGAUCCGGGUUGCGGACAGUGUCUGGUGGGUAGUUUGACUGGGGCGGUCUCCUCCUAAAGAGUAACGGAGGAGCACGAAGGUUGGCUAAUCCUGGUCGGACAUCAGGAGGUUAGUGCAAUGGCAUAAGCCAGCUUGACUGCGAGCGUGACGGCGCGAGCAGGUGCGAAAGCAGGUCAUAGUGAUCCGGUGGUUCUGAAUGGAAGGGCCAUCGCUCAACGGAUAAAAGGUACUCCGGGGAUAACAGGCUGAUACCGCCCAAGAGUUCAUAUCGACGGCGGUGUUUGGCACCUCGAUGUCGGCUCAUCACAUCCUGGGGCUGAAGUAGGUCCCAAGGGUAUGGCUGUUCGCCAUUUAAAGUGGUACGCGAGCUGGGUUUAGAACGUCGUGAGACAGUUCGGUCCCUAUCUGCCGUGGGCGCUGGAGAACUGAGGGGGGCUGCUCCUAGUACGAGAGGACCGGAGUGGACGCAUCACUGGUGUUCGGGUUGUCAUGCCAAUGGCACUGCCCGGUAGCUAAAUGCGGAAGAGAUAAGUGCUGAAAGCAUCUAAGCACGAAACUUGCCCCGAGAUGAGUUCUCCCUGAGACUUAGAGUCUCCUGAAGGAACGUUGAAGACGACGACGUUGAUAGGCCGGGUGUGUAAGCGCAGCGAUGCGUUGAGCUAACCGGUACUAAUGAACCGUGAGGCUUAACCUU